rnacentral:rRNA from 1 species
ACAUGCAAGUAGAACGCUGAAGAGAGGAGCUUGCUCUUCUUGGAUGAGUUGCGAACGGGUGAGUAACGCGUAGGUAACCUGCCUUGUAGCGGGGGAUAACUAUUGGAAACGAUAGCUAAUACCGCAUAACAAUGGAUGACACAUGUCAUUUAUUUGAAAGGGGCAAUUGCUCCACUACAAGAUGGACCUGCGUUGUAUUAGCUAGUAGGUGAGGUAACGGCUCACCUAGGCGACGAUACAUAGCCGACCUGAGAGGGUGAUCGGCCACACUGGGACUGAGACACGGCCCAGACUCCUACGGGAGGCAGCAGUAGGGAAUCUUCGGCAAUGGGGGCAACCCUGACCGAGCAACGCCGCGUGAGUGAAGAAGGUUUUCGGAUCGUAAAGCUCUGUUGUAAGUCAAGAACGAGUGUGAGAGUGGAAAGUUCACACUGUGACGGUAGCUUACCGGAAAGGGACGGCUAACUACGUGCCAGCAGCCGCGGU